rnacentral:rRNA from 1 species
CAAGUCGAACGAUGUAGCAAUACAUAGUUGGCGAACGGGAGAGGAACACGUGGGUAAUCUACUCUCGAGAGAAGAAUAACCAGUCGAAAGAUUGGCUAAUACUUCGUAAGACCACAGUAUCUAAUGAUACAGGGGUUAAAGUCGUAAGACGCUCGUGGAUGAGCCUGCGUCCGAUUAGCUAGUUGGUGAGGUAACGGCUCACCAAGGCUUCGAUCGGUAGCUGGUCUGAGAGGAUGACCAGCCUCACUGGAACUGACACACGGUCCAGACUCCUACGGGAGGCAGCAGUAGGGAAUAUUGCACAAUGGAGGAAACUCUGAUGCAGCGACGCCGCGUGGGUGAUGACGGUCUUCGGAUUGUAAAGCCCUUUUGUUAGGGAAUAAAUAAAUGAAUGUACCUGACGAAUAAGCACCGGCUAACUUCGUGCCAGCAGCCGCGGUAAUACGAGGGGUGCAAGCGUUGCUCGGAAUCAUUGGGCGUAAAGCGAGCGCGGAUGGUCUUGUAAGUCAGGAGUGAAAGCCCUGGGCUCAACCCAGGAAGUGCUUUUGAUACUGCGAGACUUGAAUGUGGGAGAGGGUGCUAGAAUACCUAGUGUAGUGGUGAAAUACGUAGAUAUUAGGUGGAACACCGGUGGGGAAGCCGGGUGCCUGGCCCAACAUUGACAUUUAGGCUCGAAAGCGUGGGGAUCAAACAGGAUUAGAUACCCUGGUAGUCCACGCCUUAAACUAUGAAUACUUGGUGUUGGAGGUAUUGACCCCUUCAGUGCCGAAGCUA